GGAAGAAUGACAGAUGAAGAUGAUGGACUAUAUGGAACUGGCGGAAAUGACUGGCAGAAUCCGAGACCAGGGAGAAGAGUCGGUGGAAGAAGAUUGGAAGAAAUUUAAAGACUAUUUACAGAAAUACUGCAAAAUUAAUGAAUGUUAGAAUGAUGUCAGAAUGAAGUUAAGUGGUUUUAGCAGCAAUGUUAUAAAGGUGUAUGUAAAAAUGGAUUGUUAACAAGUGAAAAUUCAAAGUUAUAAUAUAUUAAGUUAAAGGAUUAAGACAAAAACAAAGAGGGAAAGGAAUUGCUGAAUUAACCAAUAGAAUUGGAAUACAAAAAAGGGAGGUGUGAGGAGGUCGGGGAAGCAAGGAAACGAAAUGUAAGGCAUGGAAAGACUGAUGUGUUUUUUUAAGUGUUUUUUAUCUUUUUUCUGUAUUUUUUUUCU